rnacentral:rRNA from 1 species
AACGAACGCUGGCGGCGUGCUUAACACAUGCAAGUCGAACGCGAAAGGGACUUCGGUCCUGAGUAAAGUGGCGCACGGGUGAGUAACGCGUGGAUAAUCUACCCAAUGAUCUGGGAUAACAUUUCGAAAGGGGUGCUAAUACCGGAUAAGACCACGGGAUCUCUGGAUUCUGCGGUAAAAGGUGGGGACCUUCGGGCCUACCGUCAUCGGAUGAGUCCGCGUACCAUUAGCUAGUUGGCAGGGUAACGGCCCACCAAGGCGACGAUCCGUAGCUGGUCUGAGAGGACGAUCAGCCACACCGGAACUGAGACACGGUCCGGACUCCUACGGGUGGCAG